rnacentral:rRNA from 1 species
UGAAUACGAGAUGCUAAGGCGUCGAAGUAGUGUAUGUCAUACUUCCAAGAAAAGCUUGCACUGUCAUAAAUAAGAAAUGCCUGUACCAUAACCGACACAGGUGGGUAAGUAGAGUAUACUAAGGGGCGCGAGAUAACUCUCUCUAAGGAACUCGGCAAAAUAACUCCGUAACUUCGGGAGAAGGAGUGCCUCAUUCUUAAGGUUGCAAUAACAAGAUCCAAGCAACUGUUUAUCAAAAACACAGGUCUCCGCUAAGUCGUAAGACGAUGUAUGGGGGCUGACGCCUGCCCAGUGCCAGAAGGUUAAAGAAGUUGGUUAGCAAUUGCGAAGCUGGUAACUGAAGCCCUGGUGAACGGCGGCCGUAACGAUAACGGUCCUAAGGUAGCGAAAUUCCUUGUCGGGUAAGUUCCGACCCGCACGAAAGGCGUAAUGAUUUGGAUGCUGUCUCGGAGAGGGGCUCGGUGAAAUAGACUUGUCUGUGAAGAUGCGGACUACCUGCACCAGGACAGAAAGACCCUAUGAAGCUUUACUGUAACUUGAAAUUGAAAUUGGACUUUAUUUGCGCAGUAUAGGUGGGAGGCGUUGAUUAUAAUCUUGCGGGAUUAUUGGAGCCAUCAGUGAGAUACCACUCUUGUAAUGUUAGAUUUCUAACUUUGAAUCAUUAUCUGGUCAAAGGACAAUUUCAGGCGGGCAGUUUGACUGGGGCGGUCGCCUCCUAAAUGGUAACGGAGGCGUACAAAGGUUUCCUCUGAACGGUUAGAAAUCGUAUCUAGAGUGUAAAGGCAUAAGGAAGCUUGACUGUGAGACCUACAAGUCGAGCAGGGACGAAAGUCGGUCUUAGUGAUCUGACGGUACUGAGUGGAAAGGCCGUCACUCAACGGAUAAAAGUUACUCUAAGGAUAACAGGCUGAUCUCCCCCAAGAGUUCACAUCGACGGGGAGGUUUGGCACCUCGAUGUCGGCUCAUCGCAUCCUGGGGCGGUAGUACGUCCCAAGGUUUGGGCUGUUCGCCCAUGAAAGCGGUACGCGAGCUGGGUUCAGAACGUCGUGAGACAGUUCGGUCCAUAUCCGGUGUAGGCGUUAGAAUAUUGAGAGGAGCCUUCUUUAGUACGAGAGGACCGAGAAGGACAUACCUCUGGUGUACCAGUUAUCGUGCCAACGGUAAACGCUGGGUAGCUAUGUAUGGAGUGGAUAACCGCUGAAAGCAUCUAAGUGGGAAGCCCACCUCAAGAUAAG